rnacentral:lncRNA from 1 species
ACCCAAUCAACAUCCAUCCUCCACAUCAGCUCUCUCCAAAGUUUUGGCGUAAUAGUUUGACGCUAGAGGAAGGACCACCAGCAACCUUAUCUAAAAGAGAGAAUAUCUCGCCGCAAGAACUCCAUCACUUUUUGUGGACAGUCUCUCCGAGGAAGCUGAGGUAGAGCCACCCAGCUGUCUACCUCUCACAGGCCAGUAGGAUCACUGUAGCUAUCCGUGAUGGUGGCCCCUCAACAAUUUGGCGACC